CACUUAUUGGAUCCUGGCCAAGGGCUUGCAUGCUCAAAACGAGAUUGCAUGUAUUCUGCAAUAAGCUGUCCUGGCUUUUGUCUGGUAAAGUUCUACUUCUCGUAUUUGAACUAUUACAUGUAUUAUAUUUAUAUUGUGACAUAAGUUGGUAUUUAGCCACUAUCUAGAAUAACAAGGAACGAUUCAGCCUGGUUUUUCGUGUCCACACUAGUUGACUUUUUCUUAUAGAUUUGCUGCUGUGAGUUUCAGCUUCUCCACCAGGGUGCAUUUUAGCUUCUCAGACAUGACCAUACUGUUAACCCUGUCCAUGAGAGGGAUAUAUGUGUUGAUAAUAUAAAUACUGUGGAUCCGAAUGAG
rnacentral:lncRNA from 1 species